UACGUAGGGUGCAAGCGUUGUCCGGAAUUAUUGGGCGUAAAGAGCUCGUAGGCGGCCCGGUAAGUCCGCUCUGAAAGUCCAGGGCUCAACCCUGGAAAGCGGGUGGAUACUGCCGGGCUAGAAUCCGGAAGAGGCGAGUGGAAUUCCUGGUGUAGCGGUGGAAUGCGCAGAUAUCAGGAGGAACACCAAUAGCGAAGGCAGCUCGCUGGGACGGUAUUGACGCUAAGGCGCGAAAGCGUGGGGAGCAAACAGG
rnacentral:rRNA from 1 species